rnacentral:lncRNA from 1 species
CAUCAAGCAAAGAACUUGGAAUACGCUGAAUGCUGCAUAGAAGGUUUUGAAACUACUUACCUGCUGUGGAACGCCUGUAUAACUUUAAAAUGCAUCAAUCUCGGGAGUAUGACCAUGCUUCCUGCUUUUUAGGAUCUGAAGUUAACUGCAACUCCAAGUAUACAAGACUUCUUUGGGACCCAUGAAAGCAUCUCUACAUGCUCAUGUUUUCCAGACUCAGUGGCCUGCUGAAACCUGGCCCUAGCUAAUAAGUUAAAAAGCUCUAAGUAAUCCCGAGCUGCAUUGGAAUCUCCAAGAUCACUUGUUCAUGGGUUGGUAAUACUUUAAAGAGCCAUUUGUUUAACUGCUAAUCUGGAUCUUAUAUUCUGAGCCCCAGCUUUUUUCUAAAGCAAAGAAAAUACAAUAUAAAAGUAAGACCAAAUGCCUUUGUA